rnacentral:piRNA from 1 species
UUCUCAUGGAGGACAACUUGCUGCUUGAUGA